rnacentral:rRNA from 1 species
GAUGAACGCUGGCGGCGUGCCUAAUACAUGCAAGUCGAGCGAACGGACGAGAAGCUCUCUUCUCUGCUGUUAGCGACGGACGGGUGAGUAACACGUGGAUAACCUACCUAUAUGACUUGGGUAACUUCGGGGAACCGGAGACACUACCGGAUCAUAUUUUGAACGGCUUGGUUCAAAAGAGCUAGACGGUUUUGCUGACACUUAUAGAUGGUUUCGCGCUGCAUUAGCUAGUUGGUAAGGUAACGGCUAACCAAGGCAACGAUGCAUAGCCGACCUGAGAGGGUGAUCGGCCACACUGGAACUGAGACACGGUCCAGACUCCUACGGGAGGCAGCAGUAGGGAAUCUUCCGCAAUGGGCGAAAGCCUGACGGAGCAACGCCGCGUGAGUGAUGAAGGUCUUCGGAUCGUAAAACUCUGUUAUUAGGGAAGAACAUAUGUAUAAGUAACUGUGCACAUCUUGACGGUACCUAAUCAGAAAGCCACGGCUAACUACGUG